rnacentral:rRNA from 1 species
AACGCGAAGAACCUUACCAGGUCUUGACAUCCUUUGACCACUCUAGAGAUAGAGCUUCCCCUUCGGGGGCAAAGUGACAGGUGGUGCAUGGUUGUCGUCAGCUCGUGUCGUGAGAUGUUGGGUUAAGUCCCGCAACGAGCGCAACCCUUAUUGUUAGUUGCCAUCAUUUAGUUGGGCACUCUAGCGAGACUGCCGGUGACAAACCGGAGGAAGGUGGGGAUGACGUCAAAUCAUCAUGCCCCUUAUGACCUGGGCUACACACGUGCUACAAUGGGAAGUACAACGAGUUGCGAAGUCGCGAGGCUAAGCUAAUCUCUUAAAGCUUCUCUCAGUUCGGAUUGUAGGCUGCAACUCGCCUACAUGAAGCCGGAAUCGCUAGUAAUCGCGGAUCAGCACGCCGCGGUGAAUACGUUCCCGGGCCUUGUACACACCG